AGUGAACGCUGGCGGUAGGCCUAACACAUGCAAGUCGAACGGCAGCACAGGAGAGCUUGCUCUCUGGGUGGCGAGUGGCGGACGGGUGAGGAAUACAUCGGAAUCUACUCUGUCGUGGGGGAUAACGUAGGGAAACUUACGCUAAUACCGCAUACGACCUACGGGUGAAAGCAGGGGAUCUUCGGACCUUGCGCGAUUGAAUGGGCCGAUGUCGGAUUAGCUAGUUGGCGGGGUAAGGGCCCACCAAGGCGACGAUCCGUAGCUGGUCUGAGAGGAUGAUCAGCCACACUGGAACUGAGACACGGUCCAGACUCCUACGGGAGGCAGCAGUGGGGAAUAUUGGACAAUGGGCGCAAGCCUGAUCCAGCCAUACCGCGUGGGUGAAGAAGGCCUUCGGGUUGUAAGGACCUUUUGUUGGGAAAGAAAUCCAGCUGGCUAAUACCCGGUUGGGAUGACGGUACCCAAAGAAUAAGCACCGGCUAACUUCGUGCCAGCCGCCGCAGUAA
rnacentral:rRNA from 1 species